rnacentral:rRNA from 1 species
CUUGGUCAAUUAGAGGAAGUAAAAGUCGUAACAAGGUCUCCGUUGGUGAACCAGCGGAGGGAUCAUUACCGAGUUUACAACUCCCAAACCCAAUGUGAACGUUACCAAACUGUUGCCUCGGCGGGAUCUCUGCCCCGGGUGCGUCGCAGCCCCGGACCAAGGCGCCCGCCGGAGGACCAACCAAAACUCUUAUUGUAUACCCCCUCGCGGGUUUUUUUUAUAAUCUGAGCCUUCUCGGCGCCUCUCGUAGGCGUUUCGAAAAUGAAUCAAAACUUUCAACAACGGAUCUCUUGGUUCUGGCAUCGAUGAAGAACGCAGCGAAAUGCGAUAAGUAAUGUGAAUUGCAGAAUUCAGUGAAUCAUCGAAUCUUUGAACGCACAUUGCGCCCGCCAGUAUUCUGGCGGGCAUGCCUGUCCGAGCGUCAUUUCAACCCUCGAACCCCUCCGGGGGGUCGGCGUUGGGGAUCGGCCCUGCCUUGGCGGUGGCCGUCUCCGAAAUACAGUGGCGGUCUCGCCGCAGCCUCUCCUGCGCAGUAGUUUGCACACUCGCAUCGGGAGCGCGGCGCGUCCACAGCCGUUAAACACCCAACUUCUGAAAUGUUGACCUCGGAUCAGGUAGGAAUACCCGCUGAACUUAAGCAUAUCAAUAAGCGGAGGA